GGGUUAGCUCAGUUGGUUAGAGUGUGGUGCUGAUAAUGUGGGUUCAAUCCCCACAUGGGCUG
rnacentral:tRNA from 1 species